UACGAAGGGUGCAAACGUUGCUCGGAAUCAUUGGGCGUAAAGCGCACGUAGGCGGCCUGUUAAGUCGGAUGUGAAAUCCCUCGGCUCAACCAUGGACGUGCAUUCGAAACUGCGAGGCUUGAGUAUGGAAGAGGGUCGCGGAAUUCCCGGUGUAGAGGUGAAAUUCGUAGAUAUCGGGAGGAACACCGGUGGCGAAGGCGGCGACCUGGGUCGACACUGACGCUGAGGCGCGAAAGCGUGGGGAGCAAACAGG
rnacentral:rRNA from 1 species